rnacentral:rRNA from 1 species
AUACGUAGGUGACAAGCGUUAUCCGGAUUUACUGGGUGUAAAGGGCGUGUAGGCGGUUUAGCAAGUCAGAAGUGAAAUUCCCGGGCUUAACUUGGGCGCUGCUUCUGAAACUGCUUUACUUGAGUGCUGGAGAGGAUAGUGGAAUUCCUAGUGUAGCGGUAAAAUGCGCAUAUAUUAGGAGGAACACCGGUGGCGAAGGCGGCUAUCUGGACAGUAACUGACGCUGAGGCUCGAAAGCACGGGGAGCAAACAGGAUUAGAUACCCUGGUAGUCCGUGCCGUAAACGAUGAAUACUAGGUGUAGGGGGUAUCGAUUCCCUCUGUGCCGCAGUUAACACAUUAAGUAUUCCACCUGGGGAGUACGGCAGCGAGGCUGAAACUCAAAUGAAUUGACGUGG